UGGAGAUACGAAGAAAAAGUCAUUUGUUCUUGUUUACAAAAUCAAUAUCAUGAAUUCUUAUUUUGCAUAAUAGUAAAAAUAUAAAUGAUUUUUUUCUUGAUUGAAGAAUAAAGGCAAGAAUCCGAUCUUAUUUGAAUUUGUAUUUUUUUUAUUUGUAUUUUAAGGAGAAAAUGAAGAAAAAUUAAUGACAAUUAAUUAUAAUAAAAGAAAAUAAAAAGAUUAAGAAGCACCAUAUUAAAAUGAGAUUUGAGAUAGAAGAAACUAUUGAAUUUUUUUCAGGUCUGUAGCCAAGAUUGGUCUCCAAGCUUAUCUUUAUCCAAUCUUGCAAACCUGCAUCAAAGAAAAUAUUCCAGUACGCUUCUCUAACAAAAGAGAGCCAAAUAGUUUUAGCAGCAACAUAGUCUCGCAAAGCAUAGUCUCCCCCGUUCAUGAAUUUCCAGUUUGUGAGCUUGGCUUUAACAUUUUCCAUUUUGUGGGAAAAUUACCCGUUAGAGGCACACCCAGGUAAUUAGCAGGAGUAAUAGAUUGUGAUGAUUAUGAGAUGUUUGUGACUCCCUCUUAGCAUUUUUUUUUUCAUUUAUUCGAAUAAAUGCUCUGGUAUGUAACAUCAGGGAUUUGGGCGCUUGUAUUUUCAUGUAUUGAGUUGUGACUCUCUUUUAUAGAGUUUUCAGAAAUGUUUUAUUUAGACU